ACAGGCUUAACACAUGCAAGUCGAGGGGCAGCAUGGUCUUAGCUUGCUAAGGCCGAUGGCGACCGGCGCACGGGUGAGUAACACGUAUCCAACCUGCCGUCUACUCUUGGACAGCCUUCUGAAAGGAAGAUUAAUACAAGAUGGCAUCAUGAGUCCGCAUGUUCACAUGAUUAAAGGUAUUCCGGUAGACGAUGGGGAUGCGUUCCAUUAGAUAGUAGGCGGGGUAACGGCCCACCUAGUCUUCGAUGGAUAGGGGUUCUGAGAGGAAGGUCCCCCACAUUGGAACUGAGACACGGUCCAAACUCCUACGGGAGGCAGCAGUGAGGAAUAUUGGUCAAUGGGCGAGAGCCUGAACCAGCCAAGUAGCGUGAAGGAUGACUGCCCUAUGGGUUGUAAACUUCUUUUAUAAAGGAAUAAAGUCGGGUAUGGAUACCCGUUUGCAUGUACUUUAUGAAUAAGGAUCGGCUAACUCCGUGCCAGCAGCCGCGGUAAUACGGAGGAUCCGAGCGUUAUCCGGAUUUAUUGGGUUUAAAGGGAGCGUAGAUGGAUGUUUAAGUCAGUUGUGAAAGUUUGCGGCUCAACCGUAAAAUUGCAGUUGAUACUGGAUAUCUUGAGUGCAGUUGAGGCAGGCGGAAUUCGUGGUGUAGCGGUGAAAUGCUUAGAUAUCACGAAGAACUCCGAUUGCGAAGGCAGCCUGCUAAGCUGCAACUGACAUUGAGGCUCGAAAGUGUGGGUAUCAAACAGGAUUAGAUACCCUGGUAGUCCACACGGUAAACGAUGAAUACUCGCUGUUUGCGAUAUACUGCAAGCGGCCAAGCGAAAGCGUUAAGUAUUCCACCUGGGGAGUACGCCGGCAACGGUGAAACUCAAAGGAAUUGACGGGGGCCCGCACAAGCGGAGGAACAUGUGGUUUAAUUCGAUGAUACGCGAGGAACCUUACCCGGGCUUAAAUUGCAGAUGAAUUACGGUGAAAGCCGUAAGCCGCAAGGCAUCUGUGAAGGUGCUGCAUGGUUGUCGUCAGCUCGUGCCGUGAGGUGUCGGCUUAAGUGCCAUAACGAGCGCAACCCUUGUUGUCAGUUACUAACAGGUUCCGCUGAGGACUCUGACAAGACUGCCAUCGUAAGAUGUGAGGAAGGUGGGGAUGACGUCAAAUCAGCACGGCCCUUACGUCCGGGGCUACACACGUGUUACAAUGGGGGGUACAGAGGGCCGCUACCACGCGAGUGGAUGCCAAUCCCCAAAACCUCUCUCAGUUCGGACUGGAGUCUGCAACCCGACUCCACGAAGCUGGAUUCGCUAGUAAUCGCGCAUCAGCCACGGCGCGGUGAAUACGUUCCCGGGCCUUGUACACACCGCCCGUCAAGCCAUGGGAGCCGGGGGUACCUGAAGUGCGUAACCGCGAGGAGCGCCCUAGGGUAAAACUGGUGACUGGGGCUAAAUC
rnacentral:rRNA from 1 species